rnacentral:rRNA from 1 species
CAACCCUUAUCCUUUGUUGCCAGCGGUUAGGCCGGGAACUCAAAGGAGACUGCCAGUGAUAAACUGGAGGAAGGUGGGGAUGACGUCAAGUCAUCAUGGCCCUUACGACCAGGGCUACACACGUGCUACAAUGGCGCAUACAAAGAGAAGCGACCUCGCGAGAGCAAGCGGACCUCAUAAAGUGCGUCGUAGUCCGGAUUGGAGUCUGCAACUCGACUCCAUGAAGUCGGAAUCGCUAGUAAUCGUGGAUCAGAAUGCCACGGUGAAUACGUUCCCGGGCCUUGUACACACCGCCCGUCACACCAUGGGAGUGGGUUGCAAAAGAAGUAGGUAGCUUAACCUUCGGGAGGGCGCUUACCACUUUGUGAUUCAUGACUGGGGUGAAGUCGUAACAAGGUAACCGUAGGGGAACCUGCGGUUGGAUCACCUCCUUACCUUAAAGAA